AUUGAACGCUGGCGGCAGGCCUAACACAUGCAAGUCGAGCGGAUGAAGGGGGCUUGCUCCUGGAUUCAGCGGCGGACGGGUGAGUAAUGCGCAGGAAUCUACCUCGUAGUGGGGGAUAACGUCUCGAAAGGGGCGCUAAUACCGCAUACGUUCUGAGGAAGAAAGCAGGGGACCUUCGGGCUUUGCGCUAUGAGAUGAGCUUGCGUCCGAUUAGCUAGUUGGUGGGGUAAAGGCCUACCAAGGCGACGAUCGGUAACUGGUCUGAGAGGAUGAUCAGUCACACUGGAACUGAGACACGGUCCAGACUCCUACGGGAGGCAGCAGUGGGGAAUAUUGGACAAUGGGGGCAACCCUGAUCCAGCCAUGCCGCGUGUGUGAAGAAGGCCUCGGUU
rnacentral:rRNA from 1 species